ensembl:rRNA 5S_rRNA 5S ribosomal RNA
UAGUAGAGCCAUAUCACCCUGCAGCCCAAGACUGGUUGCCCACUGAAGCUAAGCAGGGUUGAGCCUGGUCAAUACCUGGAUGGGAGACCUCCUGGGGAAACUAGGUUGCUGUUGGAA